GACGAAAGUCUGACCGAGCAACGCCGCGUGAGUGAAGAAGGUUUUCGGAUCGUAAAGCUCUGUUGUAAGUCAAGAACGUGUGUGAGAGUGGAAAGUUCACACAGUGACGGUAGCUUACCAGAAAGGGACGGCUAACUACGUGCCAGCAGCCGCGGUAAUACGUAGGUCCCGAGCGUUGUCCGGAUUUAUUGGGCGUAAAGGGAGCGCAGGCGGUCAGGAAAGUCUGGAGUAAAAGGCUAUGGCUCAACCAUAGUGUGCUCUGGAAACUGUCUGACUUGAGUGCAGAAGGGGAGAGUGGAAUUCCAUGUGUAGCGGUGAAAUGCGUAGAUAUAUGGAGGAACACCAGUGGCGAAAGCGGCUCUCUGGUCUGUCACUGACGCUGAGGCUCGAAAGCGUGGGUAGCGAACAGGAUUAGAUACCCUGGUAGUCCACGCCGUAAACGAUGAGUGCUAGGUGUUAGGCCCUUUCCGGGCUUAGUGCCGGAGCUAACGCAAUAAGCACUCCGCCUGGGGAGUACGACCGCAAGGUUGAAACUCAAAGGAAUUGACGGGGGCCCGCACAAGCGGUGGAGCAUGUGGUUUAAUUCGAAGCA
rnacentral:rRNA from 1 species